AGUUAAUAGUGGAUUCUAACGUACACUAACUAAAAAUUAAAUUCAAAUUAUUAAGAACUUCGAUCAGAUGAUAUUGAUACAUACCCCAAAUAUUGUCAUUGCUGCGCAUGAACUCCAUCGAUGACUGCUUUUGUUAGUCGUGAAGAUUGGGAUAAAUACAUAGGCUUCUGCAGUGGACUUGAUAAAACCGGAGACUAAAUCUGCCAAAGAAAGCAUCCAGCUCAGAAAAG
rnacentral:misc_RNA from 1 species